GUGUGUGUAUGUCUUCUCUCUCAGGUGUGUGUAUGUCUUCUCUCUCAGGUGUGUGUAUGUCUUCUCUCUCAGGUGUGUGUAUGUCUUCUCUCUCAGGUGUGUGUAUGUCUUCUCUCUCAGGUGUGUGUAUGUCUUCUCUCUCAGGUGUGUGUGUGUCUUCUCUCUCAGGUGUGUGUGUGUCUUCUCUCUCAGGUGUGUGUAUGUCUUCUCUCUCAGGUGUGUGUGUGUCUUCUCUCUCAGGUGUGUGUGUGUAUGUCUUCUCUCUCAGGUGUGUGUGUGUCUUCUCUCUCAGGUGUGUGUGUGUGUCUUCUCUCUCAGGUGUGUGUGUGUCUUCUCUCUCAGGUGUGUGUGUGUCUUCUCUCUCAGGUGUGCGUGUGUCUUCUCUCUCAGGUGUGCGUGUGUCUUCUCUCUCAGGUGCGUAUGGAGAAUGUGACGGUCCUGGGGGAGGAUGUUAUCGUGAACGAUGAGCUCUACCUCAACGGUGCCAACGUGCUUCUUCACAAGUCAAUCACCGACUAUGUCUGAACCUCAUCGCAUCAUCAUCAUGUAGUUGUACAUGUGACUUGUUAAAUCCACUUCAGUCAGUGUAGAUGAAGAGGAGACGGGUUUAAAGGAGGAUUUUCAAGCCUUGAGGCAAUUUGCCUUGGAGUUUUUACUGUUUUUAAAUGUUUUUGGUGUUUUUAUUGUCCGCUUCCCAAAUGGCACCCUAUCCCCUAUGCAGUGUACUACUGUUGGGCUCUGGUCAAAAGUAGCGUACUAUAUAGGGAAUAUGGUGUUGUUUAGGAUGCCGAUCUUUAUGCUCUGAUGCCAACCUCUUGUUCUGUUGCCAGUGGCUUUUCUCUAUUGCUUCGGACCAUCACUGGUCGAAACAAUGGAAGACUGUUUAGAUCGGAUGGGUUCCGUGGAAGACUGUUUAGAUCGGAUGGGUUCUGUUGAAGACUGUUUAGAUCGGAUGGGUUCUGUGGAAGACUGUUUAGAUCGGAUGGGUUCUGUGGAAGUCUGUUUAGAUCGGAUGGGUUCUGUGGAAGACUGUUUAGAUCGGAUGGGUUCUGUGGAAGACUUUAGAUAGGAUGGGUUCUGUGGAAGACUGUUUAGAUCGGAUGGGUUCUGUUGAAGACUGUUUAGAUCGGAUGGGUUCUGUGGUAGACUGUUUAGAUAGGAUGGGUUCUGUGGAAGACUGUUUAGAUAGGAUGGGUUCUGUGGAAGACUGUUUAGAUCGGAUGGGUUCUGUGGAAGACUAGAUCGGAUGGGUUCUGUGGAAGACUUUAGAUCGGAUGGCCUCUGUGGAAGACUGUUUAGAUCGGAUGGGUUCUGUUGAAGACUGUUUAGAUCGGAUGGGUUCUGUGGUAGACUGUUUAGAUAGGAUGGGUUCUGUGGAAGACUGUUUAGAUCGGAUGGGUUCUGUGGAAGACUUUAGAUCGGAUGGGUUCUGUGGUAGACUUUAGAUAGGAUGGGUUCUGUUGAAGACUGUUUAGAUCGGAUGGGUUCUGUUGAAGACUGUUUAGAUCGGAUGGGUUCUGUGGUAGACUGUUUAGAUCGGAUGGGUUCUGUGGAAGACUGUUUAGAUCGGAUGGGUUCUGUGGAAGACUGUUUAGAUCGGAUGGGUUCUGUGGAAGACUGUUUAGAUCGGAUGGGUUCUGUGGAAGACUGUUUAGAUCGGAUGGGUUCUGUGGAAGACUGUUUAGAUCGGAUGGGUUCUGUGGAAGACUGUUUAGAUCGGAUGGGUUCUGUGGAAGACUGUUUAGAUCGGAUGGGUUCUGUGGAAGACUGUUUAGAUCGGAUGGGUUCUGUGGAAGACUGUUUAGAUCGGAUGGGUUCUGUGGAAGACUGUUUAGAUCGGAUGGGUUCUGUGGAAGACUUUAGACCGGAUGGGUUCUGUGGAAGACUUUAGAUCGGAUGGGUUCUGUGGAAGACUUUAGACCGGAUGGGUUCUGUGGAAGACUUUAGAUCGGAUGGGUUCUGUGGAAGACUGUUUAGAUUGGAUGGGUUCUGUGGAAGACUGUUUAGAUAGGAUGGGUUCUGUUGAAGACUGUUUAGAUCGGAUGGGUUCUGUGGAAGACUGUUUAGAUCGGAUGGGUUCUGUGGAAGACUGUUUAGAUCGGAUGGGUUCUGUUGAAGACUGUUUAGAUCGGAUGGGUUCUGUGGAAGACUGUUUAGAUCGGAUGGGUUCUGUUGAAGACUGUUUAGAUCGGAUGGGUUCUGUGGAAGACUGUUUAGAUCGGAUGGGUUCUGUGGAAGACUGUUUAGAUCAGAUGGGUUCUGUGGAAGACUUUAGACCGGAUGGGUUCUGUGGAAGACUUUAGAUCGGAUGGGUUCUGUGGAAGACUUUAG